GCAUGCGCCCUUCAAGGCCGACGCGGCCGGCGGGUGCUGUGCGGCGAGAGUUGGUAGCAGCGUCCCACCUAACCAGAAUUGGAAGGACACGGACAAGACGGGUCCGUGGGGGCGUCACUCCGUGCCCUGCCCUGGAGUCGGUGGCGCUUUCUGACUCGCGGAACCUGGGCGUGGGAGCUCUCGUUUGGGAUGGAGUUUCCGUAAAGCCUGGAUUGCUGACUUGACUACCUAACUCUGACUGCCUGGAACAACGAGAGCCUCUCUGCCCAUGUUAUGAUAGUCUUCACUGUGUUUCCUCCUGUGUUUCGAUCAUCUUUGUGUCUGUGCUGCUGAGGCCUGUCUCACCUCCCAGGGAGAAGCCACUCAGGAAACUGGAUCCCUGUCUGCAUUCCUCCACUGGGAUGGAAAAACAGAACUGAAGAGGAAGGAAGGAAGGAAGCGCGACGAAACAGGUUUCCCUCCUGGCUGAGGUUUGUCAGCACCACCCACUAACACGAGCAAUAAGGCAGCUCCCCUAGCAAGCCGCAGGCUGGUAUGAGGCUGGCUACAAAUAAGAAACCCGAUCGAUCUGUGUCCUGCUCAGCAGCCCAUCUGGACUGGCCAGGACACUUUUGUUUGUGUACUAGUUUCUUCAGAUGAGCCAUGCAUUUGGUAGAGUAGGAAAAGGGAGCAAAACUGAAAGGUAUAGAACUUGCUGGAGGCCUCAUCUGCCUAAUUCCUUUCCUGUUGCACUGUGCGAAUCUUUACUUGCAUUCUGUGAAAAGAACCAGGGGGAAAAAAAAUCAUCAGAAAUGUUUAUCACCAACCUAGCCCCACCGCCCAUGCAGUGCUCUCAAGAAAGCUCAUUAAGCCCCAUUGCUAUUAGAGUUAUGUGCUUCCAAAGGCUUGUUGUGACAAGAAAAAAAUAAUGAAGACAUGCUUUCUCCAAGUUGUAAGUGCCCAAGUCAAAAUACACUGCUUUUCCUUGUCCCUCUGCCUUCCCUCA